AAAAAUUUUGUCCUUCGUGUUGGCCGGUAGUAAGUCUGACGUUGAAGUGGGAGGGACUGACCAUAUCUGCCAAGGCUGUGAAGCUGGCAGCAAUCCCAGCAGUGCUGGGGUUAGCAUCCUUCCUGGUGAGCGGUGAAGGAGGGAAAGCACAAUGGGAGCAUCACACCUCAACAGGUGCUAUGGCUUUGCCUGGGAGUUCAAGACUUGCUCUUCAGUUCUAGUUGCUUGCCGUAGACAUAUGUAACCUCUCAAUUGAAGAACAUCGCCUGGACUUGGAUGAAAUCGACUUAACAUGGACCUAUUAAAAAAAUAAUAAUAAUAAAAGAAAUUAAUGUAAUAAUAAAUAAAUAAAUAAAUACAUUUUUAAAAAGGGUAUAAGGACCACUCAGAAUGAUUGCAAACAUCGUUUGAUGGGGGUUAAAGAGAUUUUGUGGUCUUAGAACAGCAGAAGGAAACUAGUGUGUAAAGUGAAAUCAGGACUGUGCUACUAUGACAGCGACCAUCAGAUCACUUCCAUGAGGAGCAUAUUAGAAGGGCUCUCCAUUUACUCCCCUCCGACUUCGAAGCUGAAGAAUGUGGAUGAGCAGCCGGGUCGUCUGCAGGGAGGUUUUUCAGUGGUGAGGGAGACGGUGCACCCCUUUGUCCAGAGGGUGAAGAAUGCCUAUGCAUCUGUCAGAAAUGGAGCCAUGAAUGCUGUCCAUUUUGGACAAGAUACCUACAUACACCUGAAGGACCCACCUCCUGGCUUUCUACCCAGAGCCAGUGUGAUUGCAGUGUCUGGAUUGGCUGGCCUGAUCCUAGCAAGGAAUUGUAAUUGGAUGAAAUCCAUAAAGCAUCCUGCUUGUCUCCACGCUGCUAAGUCCUGGACACAAAGUUAGUAAAUGUCUGUUUCAGUCCCUGUGAAAGUGCCCAACCCUGAUGUAGUUAAAAGCUUAGACACCCCAGAGGUCAAUGAUGUUCCCACGCCAGAGAUAGUCCCACAUGUUCCUGAGGCUGUGCCAGAUCAUACCAUUGAGACUGAAGUGCUUUUAGCAGAGGAGGCAGCUCCGCAAGACAACUUACCUGCUUCUGAGCCUGUUGAUGCUGCUUUGCUUGAACCUGCUCCUGUCCUCAACGCUGUGCCUGAUCCUUCCUCUCCUGCAGAACUACCUGCACCAACAGAGUCUUCAUCCCCUCCCGAGGCUGAACAGCCAGCCACCACUAAAUCACAUGAAUCACUGUCUCCACAGAAAGAGCAGGAAGCCGUAUUGGAGCCAAGCAUACCAGUCUCUCCCAGCUCUGAGACACCUACAGCUACACUGCAAAUCUUAUACUGAUUAUACAGAUGUUGACAUCAUAAUACUUACUAACACUUUAGAAGCGUAUAUCCUAAUAUAUAUAUAUAUUUUUUACCUAACUUCAGACACUUUAAACUAAGAAAGUCAGAUAGACCUAGACAUGUUUUAUCUUCAUGACUUUCUAGUAGUUUUUACCCCCGCAAACCUAUGUAGCAAAAUAACGAUAGCUGAGUGAUUUCCACUUGCAAGAACAGGGUUGAUUGAUUGUUAUGACCGUUGCAGGCUUUGAACUUGUACUUGACUCUCCUGCCUUUUCAGAUCUUUCAGAGAAGCCCAGGUUCCGCCCUGACCCCCACUUACUGGACCACGGGCAGUCGAACCCAAAAGAUUCUGAUAUGCACAGCACCCAAAGCUGAAGCCAGCAGACAGUACAAGACAGGUUUAAUGUCACCAAAAGCACUUGGCCUGUCAGCACUUCUUGAUUAGCCUACUGGAACUAAAUCUGCUUUAAGACUUUAAGAUCCCCCAGAUUUCCUGUAUUGGUGAUGGUUUUAUAACCACCAUUAGAUUAGAUCUUAAAUAUUUGUAAGAUAUCUUGUAAUUUUUCUAGGACAAGAGCUCUUUUUAAGCAAAGGCAUCACACAAAGUUCUGUUCUUCAAAUAUUUAAAUUGCUAUGAAAGGAGGGGUUGGAGCAGGGGUUCAGCAACAGGAUAUUAAUAUUUCUCCCCAAAACUGGUUCCAGUGUGCCGGUGUGUGAUGUUUUAAAAAAUCACCUUGUAGGUCUA